AUAUCUCUCUGUACGGGAAGGAUGAGAAGCUUCGACUAAGGUUCGAUUCGAGCGCAGCGAGAAAGCGUUGCCGCAGGCAACGACCCGAAGGGCGAAGCUCGCAGCGCUGAGUCAUCCUUCCCCCACCACCA
rnacentral:sRNA from 1 species